rnacentral:rRNA from 1 species
GAGUUUGAUCCUGGCUCAGGAUGAACGCUAGCGGCAGCCUAACACAUGCAAGUCGAGGGGUAACAUAGAAAAGCUUGCUUUUCUGAUGACGACCGGCGCACGGGUGCGUAACGCGUAUACAAUCUGCCUUAUACUGGGGUAUAGCCUUUAGAAAUGAAGAUUAACCCCCCCAUAGUCUCUUUAAAUGGCAUCAUUUUAAGAGUAAAGGUUACGGUAUAAGAUGAGUAUGCGUUCUAUUAGUUUGUUGGUGAGGUAAUGGCUCACCAAGACUACGAUAGAUAGGGGCCCUGAGAGGGGGAUCCCCCACCACUGGUACUGAGACACGGACCAGACUCCUACGGGAGGCAGCAGUGAGGAAUAUUGGACAAUGGAGGAAACUCUGAUCCAGCCAUGCCGCGUGCAGGAAGACUGCCCUAUGGGUUGUAAACUGCUUUUAUACAGGAAGAAACUGCUCUACGUGUAGAGCUCUGACGGUACUGUAAGAAUAAGGAUCGGCUAACUCCGUGCCAGCAGCCGCGGUAAUACGGAGGAUCCAAGCGUUAUCCGGAAUCAUUGGGUUUAAAGGGUCCGUAGGUGGAUAAUUAAGUCAGAGGUGAAAUCUUGCAGCUCAACUGUAAAAUUGCCUUUGAUACUGGUUGUCUUGAGUUAUUAUGAAGUAGUUAGAAUAUGUAGUGUAGCGGUGAAAUGCAUAGAUAUUACAUAGAAUACCAAUUGCGAAGGCAGAUUACUAAUAAUAUACUGACACUGAUGGACGAAAGCGUGGGUAGCGAACAGGAUUAGAUACCCUGGUAGUCCACGCCGUAAACGAUGGUUACUAGCUGUGUGGAUUUCGAUCUGCGUGGCUAAGCGAAAGUGAUAAGUAACCCACCUGGGGAGUACGUUCGCAAGAAUGAAACUCAAAGGAAUUGACGGGGGCCCGCACAA